AUUGCUCUUCAACGAGGAAUCCCUAGUAAGCACAAGUCACCAGCUUGUGCUGAUUACGUCCCUGCCCUUUGUACACACCGCCCGUCGCUACUACCGAUUGAAUGGCUUAGUGAGGCCCUCGGAUCGACUUUCUGAGACUGGCAACAGUCUUUGAUUGUUGAGAAGUUGGUCAAACUUGGUCAUUUAGAGGAAGUAAAAGUCGUAACAAGGUUUCCGUAGGUGAACCUGCGGAAGGAUCAUUAUUAUUUGGAUAGGGUUUAGCACUAAUUCGUCCUCUGUUGUAUUUGGUGGUAAACCUCUUCCAAAUAUAUUGUUACUCUUUUUUUUUAAAAAAAGGAGCAAGAUGAUAUAUAUUUAAAACCCAACUCUUAUAUAUAAAAUAUGUAUAUUUUUGAAUAAUAAAAUUAAAGAUCACUUUCAACAACGGAUCUCUUGGCUCUCGCAUCGAUGAAGAACGUAGCGAAGUGCGAUAAGUAAUGUGAAUUGCAGAAUUCAGUGAAUCAUCGAAUCUUUGAACGCACAUUGCCCUCCCUGGUAUUCCGGGGAGUACGUUCGUUCGAGCGUCAUGUAAAUUCUCGGAUGUCCGUAUUGCGCGGUUCAUUCCGGCCUUGGGCGCCUCCCGGUCCGCCGAGUCCGGUGGGUCAGGUCGCCUGAAAUUAAACAGCGACAUCCGCGACCGACCACGGCGUAUUACGUUGGCCUGCCCGACAAACCUUCGCCUAUGUUGCCGACGUCGCUAUCGCAGAAACGUUCGUGACUUCCCCCUCCAGGGUUGACAUGGCACACUUCACCUGACCUCGAAUCGAACGAGACUACCGGCCGAACUUAAGCAUAUUAAUCAGCCGAGGAAAAGAAACUAACAAGGAUUCCCUCAGUAACUGCGAGUGAAGCGGGAAGAGCUCAAAUUUUAAAUCUUGUCGGCGGGCCGGCACGAGUUGUAGUUUAAAGAAGCAUAUUCGGCGUCCGUCUGGGUACAACUCCUUUGGAACAGGGGAUCACAGAGGGUGAGAAUCCCGUCCGUGACCCAGAUCCAGUCGCUAUGUGAUAUGCUUUCGAAGAGUCGAGUUGUUUGGGAUUGCAGCUCAAAGCGGGAGGUAUAUUUCUCCAAAGGCUAAAUAUAGGCGAGAGACCGAUAGCGAACAAGUACCGUGAGGGAAAGAUGAAAAGAACUUUGAAAAGAGAGUUAAAUAGUACGUGAAAUUGUUGAAAGGGAAACGCUUGAAACCAGUCAUGCUGGUGUGAAAUCAGCCGUGUCGACGGUCGCGUGCUUGGCAUCGGGAGGGCAACCCCCGUGCUAUGUUCGGCGUUCGUCGUUCGGUGCACUUUCGCGCACGCAGGUCAGCGUCAGCUUUGAUCGCGGGAAAAAACCCCGGGAAGGUGAUCAUCGGUUCGCCGGUGGUGUUAUAGCCCUUAGCCCAUACCGCGUGUCGGGGUUGAGGAUCGCAGCGCACGCUUUCGCGCUUCGCGCCUGGAGACUGGUCGUCGCCGGACGGCAGACAGCUUGCUGACUGUCGACUGAACGUCGCCCAACUCUCUAGACCGACGAUAUGUGCGCUUAGGAUGCUGACGUAAUGGUUUUAAACGACCCGUCUUGAAACACGGACCAAGGAGUCUAACAUAUAUGCGAGUGUUU
rnacentral:rRNA from 1 species